rnacentral:RNase_P_RNA from 1 species
GUGAGCUGGCGGAUGGCUCCGAGCUUACAAAAAGCUUGAGGAAACUCCGCCCACAGUACAGACUUGCAGCAUCUGUAAAGGUGUAGGGCGAGAGCCUUGGCAACAGAGCAGAAACGAAACGUCCAUCCAGCAUGUGGCGAUGAUUCAUGUUAAGUUGUCGAGGACGCUGGUUGUGAAGCGUUGAAACGGCUGUCCUGCAAGGUGUAAGGGCAAAUAGGCGCUUGUGAAGAGCUGUAUGAAGCGCGGGUUGCCCGAUUAGCUGAAUGCCAUCUUUGAACAAAAGGCGGGUUAUGUCCAGCACAC